rnacentral:lncRNA from 1 species
AGAAAGGGUUAAGCUAUGGGCGGGAAUGUAAUUCUGUAAGCACCUUUCACAAAAAGUGUGCAGACAGGGAAGUACUUUGGGGUUCUUGUAACGGUCCAGGCAUAUGCUACAAAUCAGAAACUGCUUGUCAAUCUGACGGACCACAGGACUUGGGAUGUUGGAGCCUUCACUGGCCAUCCUAGACCACUGACAUAUGGGUCCUGUUUCC